GACGUAGGGGGCAAGCGUUGUUCGGAAUUAUUGGGCGUAAAGCGCUCGUAGGCGGGACAGGAAGUUCGUGUUGAAAGACCUCGGCUCAACUGAGGGACCGGCUCGAAUACUCUUGUUCUUGAGGCAAUCAGAGGGUGAUGGAAUUCCCAGUGUAGAGGUGAAAUUCGUAGAUAUUGGGAAGAACACCGGUGGCGAAGGCGGCAACCUGGUCCUUGACUGACGCUGAGGCGCGAAAGCGUGGGGAGCAAACAGG
rnacentral:rRNA from 1 species